rnacentral:rRNA from 1 species
UGGGGAAUUUUGGACAAUGGGGGAAACCCUGAUCCAGCCAUCCCGCGUGUGCGAUGAAGGCCUUCGGCUUGUAAAGCACUUUUGGCAGGAAAGAAACGUCAUGGGUUAAUACCCCGUGAAACUGACGGUACCUGCAGAAUAAGCACCGGCUAACUACGUGCCAGCAGCCGCGGUAAUACGUAGGGUGCAAGCGUUAAUCGGAAUUACUGGGCGUAAAGCGUGCGCAGGCGGUUCGGAAAGAAAGAUGUGAAAUCCCAGAGCUCAACUUUGGAACUGCAUUUUUAACUACCGGGCUAGAGUGUGUCAGAGGGAGGUGGAAUUCCGCGUGUAGCAGUGAAAUGCGUAGAUAUGCGGAGGAACACCGAUGGCGAAGGCAGCCUCCUGGGAUAACACUGACGCUCAUGCACGAAAGCGUGGGGAGCAAACAGG